GCCACUCCUUUCCACCUUGUAUUGUUCUUAGUUCUGCUCAAAUGCACACAAUUUUCUGAGUACGCCCUCUUCGCUUUUAAUACGUUUUACUUUGUAAAUAACACACGCACGGUACACAACACAACCCUAAUUCAGAAGAAUUUGCUAUGACCCAUGUCAGCAAAUAAAAACUGAAGAAGGCCAGGGCCGAAAGCUUUACAA